rnacentral:rRNA from 1 species
AUGAUUCAGAGUGCUCAUAAGCGGCGCUUGCCUAUGGUUGUUCUGAAGUUGGACUUCAGAAAAGCUUUUGACAGUGUUAGUUGGGCCUGCAUUUCCAACAUUAUGGAGGCAAGGGGCUUCCCCCGCAGAUGGAUUAGCUGGUUUUCUUCUCUCCUGCACACCUCCAGCUCCAGGAUCAUGAUCAAUGGCAAACUUGGGGACACGAUCGUCCCCCGGAGAGGGUUCAGGCAGGGUGAUUUGUUGUCCCCAUAUUUGUUCAUUUUGGUAGCUGACGUGUUGCAACGUAUGUGCUGCAUGGCAUUUGAGGUCGGGGGUUUGGUUCACCCUUUGGGCUCUGACAGGUUGUUUCCGGUGUUGCAAUACGCCGACGACACUCUGCUUCUCUUUCAGGGUAGCAUAUAG